rnacentral:lncRNA from 1 species
UGUCACGCCCCGGAUUACACGUUCCCCGGGCACGCCGACAAAUCCGCCGUAUACAAAGAAAUUUUCCCUGUAUACGAAGCGACAGCUGUACCUGUAAAUCAAACACUACUACGAACAGUAGUAGAGAGCUGCUAGAGAAAACAGAAGCCAAAUAAAACAGAGUUUCAUAUACAUAGUUCAGAUCCAAAAUACAGAGCUACUCGCACUGGCGAGUUAAGUCAACUAUGUACAUAAACUCGAAACAAAACAUCUACCUACAGUAGGGCACCUCUAGCUCAGCACGUCGGGUAGGGCUCUAACUCGCGACGCCCUUGCCUCGAUCCUGAUCCACGGACGGUGCAGCAGCCGGAACCUGUGGCUCUGCAAAAACAUAGGUAACAACUGGGCGUGAGAACUACUGUAAAAACAAGUAGUCCUCAGUGGGUACCGCCCAAAACAACAUCGGUCACCCACUAAGUCUACAGAAGGGAGCAAGGAUAGAAGGAAAAGCAGGAAGUACACUCUACCGCUAUCAUCCACUACACUAUCAUGCUCUACACUAACCAACUGUAGGAAAUGUCAAAUCUGACCCAAUCCAAAUCGGGACUGUAAGCAUACCCGUCCCCGGGACUGUGAAUACACCCGUCCCUGCCCCGUUGCGACUAUCGGGCUCUAUCCACUCUAACUGGUCCGUGGAGAGCAAGUCCAACUGGCAUGAGCGACACCAACGCGAAAGCACAAGCCUGACUCCGGAGUGGCACUCGUGGGCGCUACCCAACCGAGUAUGCAGCGUAUCUCUGUCGAGCUCAAACAGGCUCUGGAAAGCCAAAGUCAAGAAACCGACUCUAAACUGGUCUAACAACCAACAGGUAACGUGCCCUCGGCACAAUCUGACGCCAAAAAGGCGAUACGGGUCCACCGUCAACUCUGACGGCACCCAACAGUCCGAAAUAACCUGAACGACCCGGUAAAAAUCCACUCGGCGAACCAGCACGAGUGUAAAUAUAUUCUAAACUACCUGGAGUACUCGUCUCGACAAUACUGCGACAGUACACUUUUCUAACGGCUUCUAGAGCUAAAUUAGGCAGUUUAUACAGGUGACAGGUCCAAAUCGCAAGUUUUCUCCUAAUUCAAUUUCCAAGUUCAACAUGUAUAAUCUACUUAAUUUAAAAUAAACAUGCUUCAAAAUUCAGAUUUCACAAUCUACAUAUAGUCCAUGAAUUUGAGCUAAAAUUAAUUACCGAAAUCAAGAUCUAUACAUGUCGACCAAUAAGAACUUAGGAGUAAAGCCGAUGUAACCCACCAAAAAAGCUAAUCCCUGGCAGCGAGGGACUCCUCCUGGUGUAGAGCAACCUGCUGGAUCACCCGGAACCCGCCGAGUACAGAAAUCGCCUAAGCUCGAGCUCUACGCAACAAAAUUCACCAAUUCAGUCCAGAAAUUUCAGCGGUGAGGUACAACAGGGAUUCGACCAAGCUAACCUUCACCAAAUCCAGCAAGUAAGGGCUUCGUGGAUUCCUCUCGAAGUCCUGAAUCCAACAAGCCAAGUCUCGUCGCAAUCCGAUGCUCCUACGUCGAGAACGAGCCAAAAUACCGACAGUCGACGAAGAAAUCUGCAGCAGUGGCACCCGAGCCCGAAAAUGAUGAAAUUGAAGUACUUGGAGGGAUGCCCACAGGUAAAAAUACGACAACCAGUACCUUGAAGCAGCACGACGUCAAAGAUGGCGAAAAAAACAACUCGCCCGACCUCCUCGCAGCAACACGACGACGGAAGUAUGCUCGAACGGCUCCGCGGCGCGACGUCGGCGACGAAUCCGAGCUCCCUCUUGCCUUCAACCGGAUGAGGGAGUUAGAGAGAUGGAUAAAAGCAGCUAGAAGACCUCUCUCACUCUCUCCACACGAAGCUAUAUAGAGGGGAGUGAGGGGUGAUACAAGCGAGGGAGAGAAAAUUACUCAUUUAGCCCUCUACCUACCCUCUUGUACCGGUACACGGGCUCCUGUACCGGUACAAGAGCCAACCUGAGAGCAGCUAAGUUCGGUGCGCGCAUCCUGUACCGGUACAGCAACCCCUUGUACCGGUACAACAAGCAGUCCUGCGAUGGUUGUACCGGUACAGCCUGCCCUUGUACCGGUACAGCGAGCAGAAAAUCCUGCUGUUUCGCAGAUUCUCUCGCAGAAUGCUGCCCUCGCAUUGCACGGAGUCCGUUUUGCGCCUAUUUGACGCCAACGCGACUCGGACCUGUCCCGACAAUCUUCAGAGCUGUCGACAAGCCUCCAGUCAAACACCAGAGAUCUCACAUCCUCCCCCUCUAUAAAAAGUUUCGUCCGCAAAACUGAACAUACCUCUACUCAAGCAUCAAACAAGUAGGGAUAGGCUUUCCUCAUCACCGUCUCAGACUCCCAAGUCGCCUCCCGCUCAUCAUGAUUACUCCACUGCACUUUCACAUACGGAAUGACCCGGUUGCGCAAUUCUCUCGUCUCACGAGCAAGAAUCCGCAACGGCCGCUCCUCGUAUCUCAGAUCCUCGCCAAUCUCAAGUGGAGUGAAGUCAAUCACAUGAGAGGGAUCGAAAACGUAUCUCCUCAAUGCUGAGACGUGGAAAACAUCAUGGAUGCCAGCAGGUCGCGGGGGUAGAGCUAUCCUGUAAGCCACCGGUCCGAUACGCUCCAAUACCUCGAAAGGACCAACAAAUCGUGGACUAAGCUUCCCACGUACUCCAAAUCGGCGUAUCCCUCUGGACGGCGAGAUUUUGAGAAAAACAUGAUCCCCAACCUGAAACUCCAAGUCUCGUCUCCGAGUAUCAGCGUAGCUCCUCUGUCGGCUCUGAGCUGUCAAAAGGUGUCGUCGAACGACUCUCACCUUUUCCUCAGCCUCAAGUAGAAUCUCUGGUCCAAGUGUCCUCCGCUCACCCACAUCACUCCAAAACAGGGGGGAUCGACAUCUGCGUCCAUACAACGCCUCAAACGGAGCCAUCUGAAUGCUCGUUUGAUAGCUGUUGUUGUACGCAAACUCAACCAGUCUCACAUGUCGAUACCACCCUCCUCCAAAAUCCAGGACGCAUGCCCUCAGCAUGUCCUCUAGAGUCUGUAUGGUCCGCUCUGACUGACCAUCUGUCUGUGGGUGGAACGCCGUGCUAAAAUGCAGCUGUGUACCCAAGGCUGUCUGCAAACUCCUCCAAAACUGGGAUACAAACCUCGGGUCUCUGUCUGAUACAAUCGACACUGGCACGCCGUGCAGCCUAACGAUCUCAUCCAAGUAUAGCUGCGCAAGUCUCUCCCUGGACCAGGUAGUCUGAACCGGUAGGAAGUGAGCAGACUUGGUCAGUCUGUCCACUAUCACCCAAAUCGCGUCGUAGCCACCCUGCGCUCUAGGCAAUCCAACGACGAAGUCCAUCGUGAUGUGCUCCCACUUCCACUCGGGAACUGGCAGACUCUGAAGCUUGCCAGCAGGCACCUGAUGCUCGGCCUUCACCUGUUGGCAAGUCAAACACUGAGCCACAUAUCUGCCAAUGUCCCGCUUCAUUCCAGGCCACCAGAAUCGUGCCUUAAGAUCCUUAUACAUCUUGGUUCCCCCAGGAUGAACCGUAUAAGGGGAACAAUGAGCCUCUCUCAGAAUAUCCGCUCGAAUCUCCGGAUCCACAGGCACACACAGUCGGUCCCUGUACCGUAGUACUCCCGAACUGUCCAAAGCAAAUCCCUCAGCCUGCCCCCUGUCUAGCUGCUCUCUAAUCCUCAACAAGUACGGAUCUCCACUCUGUUUCUCUCGGAUCCUAUCCAACAGAGUGGGCUGUAAAACUAGAGACGUCAGCCUCGCCGUAGACCCAGGGGGUACUAUCUCGAGUCCCAGCCGCUGUAGCUCCUCGAGUAGGGGUCUCUGCUCAGUAAUCCUCAAACUCAGGCUCUGCACUGACUUCCUGCUCAACGCAUCUGCCACCACAUUCGCCCUGCCGGGAUGAUACUGAAUACUAAUGUCAUAGUCCUUCAGUAACUCCAACCACCGGCGCUGCCUCAGAUUCAGCUCCCUCUGUGUGAACAGAUACUUGAGACUUUGAUGAUCGGUGAAUACCUCGCAGUGCUCGCCGUACAAGUAAUGCCGCCAGAGCUUCAAAGCAAAAACCACCGCGGCAAGCUCCAAAUCAUGCGUAGGGUAAUUCUUCUCAUAAUCCUUUAACUGCCGUGAAGCAUAAGCAAUCACCCUACCAUGCUGCAUCAGCACGCAACCAAGUCCACUGUGCGAUGCAUCACUGUAGAUCACGAAUCCAUCCCCCAUCACCGGAAGGGCAAGGAUAGGAGCCGACGUCAACCUCAGUCUCAACUCGUCAAAGCUCCUCUGACAGUCGUCGCUCCAGACAAAACGAAUCCCCUUCCGCGUCAAGCGUGUGAGGGGUGUGGAAAGCUUCGCAAAGCCUUCCACAAACCGACGGUAAUAUCCUGCCAGUCCCAGGAAGCUCCGUACCUCAGUCACCGUCGUCGGUCUAGGCCAAUCUCGAAUCGCCUCAAUCUUCUUCGGGUCCACUGCUACGCCCUCAGCUGAAAUCACGUGGCCCAAGAAAGCAACCUCCCGUAGCCAGAACUCGCACUUCUUUAACUUGGCAUACAACUUCUUCUCGCGCAGAAGCUGUAGCACAAUCCUCAAGUGCUCCUCAUGCUCAGCAUCACUCCGGGAGUAAAUCAGGAUAUCGUCGAUGAAGACUACCACAAACCUAUCCAAGAACGGCUUGAACACUCUGUUCAUCAAAUCCAUGAAUGCGGCAGGGGCAUUCGUCAAUCCAAAAGGCAUCACCGUGAACUCAUAAUGCCCGUACCGAGUCCGAAAAGCCGUCUUGGGAACAUCCUCGGCCCUCACCCUCAGCUGGUGGUAACCUGACUGGAGAUCAAUCUUCGAGAAGACAUAAGAUCCCUGCAGCUGAUCAAACAAAUCAUCAAUGCGCGGCAAGGGAUACUUAUUCUUGAUGGUCACUUUAUUCAGCUCCCGGUAAUCCACACAUAACCUGAGCGAACCAUCCUUCUUCUUUACAAAUAACACCGGCGCUCCCCAAGGCGACACACUGGGUCUCACAAACCCUCUAUCCAUCAGAUCCUGAAGUUGCGCCUUUAGCUCUCUCAGCUCUGCCGGUGCCAUCCUGUAAGGUACCUUUGAGAUUGGUGCAGUUCCAGGAACUACAUCAAUCACAAACUCAAUCUCCCUCUCCGGCGGCAACGUCGUCAACUCAGGGGGAAACACAUCCGGAAACUCGCGGACUACUGGGAUGUCCUCGAGUCCCGGCGCCGCCGUAGGUACCUCCACAACUGUCGCUAGGAAAGCGAUACACCCACUGCUCAGCAUCUGUCGAGCCCUCGCCGAAGAUAUCCAGGUGGCAAACAGCGUGCUCCUGCAGCCUCUGAAAGUAAACUCCUCCUGGCCUGGCUCGCGGAACGUCACCGUCCUCGCUCCACAGUCGAUCGUAGCAUAGUACCGCGCCAGCCAAUCCAUACCGAGCACUACGUCGAAGUCCUGCAGCUGCCCUAACACCAACAGGUCUGCGGGCAUGAUCCAAGAGUCUAACUGCACCGGACAGGACCAACAACACUCUGUAACCUGCAAGACAUGGUCGGGGAUCUGCACCUCUCGUGCCUGAGACAACGCUCCUAACUCUAGACCAUGCAACAAUGCAAAUGCUCGGCUAACAAAGGAAUGCGAUGCACCGGUAUCAAAAAGAGUGCGAACUCUAAUGCCAGAAAUCAAAGUGAUACCUGCCACCACUCGGUCGGCUGCUGAAGAGUCCUCCACCUGAGCUGCAUAGACCCUGCCACUCGGAGCCUGCUGUCGCCGCUCACUCGACCGCGGCACAGACGAUCUGUCCUCCUGGCGGUAGCUCGGUGCUGCUCCGUAAGACUGCUGUGGUGCUGGUGGUGCCGAAGCUGAUGACGGUGCUGGAGAUGCUGCUCGGGGACAAGCUGCCCUCAUGUGUCCCGGCUGACCACAUCCGUAGCACCUGCCCUCUCUCUGCUCGCACUGCCGAGGCCAGUGUGGUCCCCCGCAGAUCACACACUGUGGCGUCCUCUGAGUCUGCCCCUGCUGACGGGAUCCCCUGGAACGCUGACGCCCCGAAGACCCACGACCCUGAGAACGUGAUCGUGGAGGUCUCGGCGGACGUCUGCUGCUCGACUGCCCUCCGUCAUCUGGAAAGGGGCGCUUCCUGUCCUGACCCUGCCCCACGGCCUGAGUCCUCUCCUGCAGCGACACCUCACCUCUCUCCACCCAUAGGGCCUGCUCUAUGGACGCAUCCAGGGUCCUCGACCUCUGCGCCCGCACUAACCUGAAGAUGUCCGGUCUCAGCCCCUGCUCGAACAUGUAUACUCUGUGCGCCUCGUCUCUGGCCACAAAUGGUACACAGUUCAGGAGUCGAGUAAACUCCCGAACGUACUCCUGCACUGGGCGAUCUCCCUGCUGAAGCCUCCUCAAAUCCUCCUCGAGCUUCUGCUUCACACUGUUGGGAAAGAACAUCCCAAACAGCAUUCCACAGAACUCAUCCCAACUCAGCUGCGCCGCCACUAGCCCCUGGUCUCGCCUCGUUCUCCGCCACCAGUCAUGAGCAUCACCUGCUAGACAGUGUACUCCCAGGGGUACCUGCUCCCCCUCUGGAACGAACAGAUCCUCGAAUAACUUCUCCAUCGCACUGACCCAUCCCUCAACAAUCCAGGCCUCAGUGCCUCUGCCAUCGAAGAUCGGUGGAUCAAAUCGGCGAAAACGAGCUAACCUCUCCGUCCACCGCUCCUGCUCGGCCUCAGUCAACGGUACUGGCCCCCUAGCAGGCGCAACUGGCGCUACUGGAACUGCUGCCGAUGGAGGAACUGCUGCAGCUGGUGCUGUCACUGGAGUAGUCGGGGGUGGAACUGGCGACUCUGGUGCCCUCGGUACAGAACUCGGUGGCUGAGCUAUCCUCUCACACAACCUCUGCAAUAGCUCCCCCUGCUGUCUCGUCACCUCAGUCAGGGCAGCCAACUGUGCACUCAAAUCUGGGGAUGCACUCGCCUCCGGUCGGGCCCUCUGCUCUACAACUGGGGGUGCACUCGCCUCUGCCUGCUCAGGCAUCUCGGGAGAUCUAGCACGAUCCUGCGCCAACUGCGCACGCUCCCGCAACGACGGUCGGCCUCGGCGACGAUACAUAGCUGAAAGGAACAAAUCGGGGUCAGAUACAACAAAACACUCUCGACCCAAUCAAACGAAAGUCUAGAAGGCGGCCCCUGUUUCUCCUCAAAAUUAUGUCGUCUGCAGCCAACAUAAUUUCUCAGGCCAAAACAGAAACUCCUUCAGUCACUCACUCUACUCUAAGAGGAGUUAAAACAAAUAAUCAUUGACUUUCGCAAUAAAAUUACGCCUCUCACGUCUUGCUUCCCUAAGGUUUGCCAAACUUAGGUUUCCUAGGUCCCCACGACCUACAGCAAAGCUCUGAUACCAACUUAAUCUGUCACGCCCCGGAUUACACUUUCCCCGGGCACGCCGACAAAUCCGCCGUAUACAAAGGAAUUUUCCCUGUAUACGAAGCGAUAGCUGUACCUGUAAAUCAAACACUACUACGAACAGUAGUAGAGAGCUGCUAGAGAAAACAGAAGCUAAACAAACUGAGUUUCAUAUACAUAGUCCAAAUCCAAAAUACAAAGCUACUCGCACUGGCGAGUUAAGUCCACUAUGUACAUAAACUCGAAACAAAACAUCUACCUGCAGUAGGGGCACCUCUAGCUCAGCACGUCGGGUAGGGCUCUAACUCGCGACGCCCUUGCCUCGAUCCUGAUCCGCGGACGGUGCAGCAGCCGGAACCUGUGGCUCUGCAAAAACAUAGGUAACAACUGGGCGUGAGAACUACUGUAAAAACAAGUAGUCCUCAGUGGGUACCGCCCAAAACAACAUCGGUCACCCACUAAGUCUACAGAAGGGAGCAAGGAUAGAAGGAAAGCAGGAAGCAUACUCUACCGCUAUCAUCCACUACACUAUCAUGCUCUACACUAACCAACUGUAGGAAAUGUCAAAUCUGACCCAAUCCAAUCGGGACUGUAAGCAUACCCGUCCCCGGGACUGUGAAUACACCCGUCCCUGCCCCGUUGCGACUAUCAGGCUCUAUCCACACUAACUGGUCCGUGGAGAGCAAGUCCAACUGGCAUGAGCGACACCAACGCAAAAGCACAAGCCUGACUCCGGAGUGGCACUCGUGGGCGCUACCCAACCGAGUAUGCAGCGUAUCUCUGUCGAGCUCAAUCAGGCUCCAACUAGCCAAAGUCAAGUAAUCGACUCAAACUGGUCUAACAACCAACAGGUAACGUGCCCUCGGCACAAUCUGACGCCAAAAAGGCGACACGGGUCCACCGUCAACUGUGACGGCACCCAACAGUCUGAAACGACCUGAACGACUCUGUAAAAAUCCACUCGGCGAACCAGCACAAGUGUAAAUACAUUCUAAACUACCUGGAGUACUCGUCUCGAAGAAACUGCGACAGUACAAUUUUCUAACGGCUCCUAGAGCUAAAUCAGGUAGUUAAAACUGGUGACAGGUCCAAAUCGCAGGUUUUCUCCUAAUUCAAUUUCCAAGUCCAACAUGUAUAAUCUACUUAAUUUAAAAAACAUGCUCCAAAAUUCAGAUUUCACAAUCUACAUAUAGUCCAUGAAUUUGAGCUAAAAUUAAUUACCGAAAUCAAGAUCUAUACAUGUCGACCAAUAAGAACUUAGGAGUAAAGCUGAUGUAACCCACCUAAAAAGCUAAUCCCUGGCAGCGAGGGACUCCUCCUGGUGUAGAGCAACCUGCUGGAUCACCCGGAACCCGCCGAGUACAGAAAUCGCCUAAGCUCGAGCUCUACGCAACAAAAUUCACCAAUUCAGUCCAGAAAUUUCAGCGGUGAGGUACAACAGGGAUUCGACCAAGCUAACCUUCACCAAAUCCAGCAAGUAAGGGCUUCGUGGAUUCCUCUCGAAGUCCUGAAUCCAACAAGCCAAGUCUCGUCGCAAUCCGAUGCUCCUACGUCGAGAACGAGCCAAAAUACCGACAGUCGACGAAGAAAUCUGCAGCAGUGGCACCCGAGCCCGAAAAUGAUGAAAUUGAAGUACUUGGAGG